UUGUGCUAGGCGGGGAGCUAGCGGUGCCCUAUUCCCGAAAUCCGCUUCAUGCGGGGCUGAAUUCCCGCCCGAGGAUCCCAUACUUGGAUAACUCGGAGCAUUUUGAUCGGACACCGCGCAACAGACGGUCACGAACCUCGUCAGGUCCGGAAGGAAGCAGCGAUAAGUGAUGCGGUUUGUGUCGCGGAUUGAUCCCGAUCUGCAUAAUGGUCUGAUGCCUCCAAAAAGAUUCGACGGUGGGUGCACAA
rnacentral:SRP_RNA from 1 species